rnacentral:rRNA from 1 species
UACGUAGGGUGCGAGCGUUAAUCGGAAUUACUGGGCGUAAAGCGUGCGCAGGCGGUUGUGCAAGACAGAUGUGAAAUCCCCGGGCUCAACCUGGGAAUUGCGAUGGAGACUGCAAGGCUAGAAUCUGGCAGAGGGGGGUAGAAUUCCACGUGUAGCAGUGAAAUGCGUAGAGAUGUGGAGGAACACCGAUGGCGAAGGCGGGUCUCUGGGCCGAUACUGACGCUGAGGAGCGAAAGCGUGGGGAGCGAACAGG